AUCCCUGCAUAGUGCGUGUAGACCAGAAUUUUAGAACCUACAAGUUUUGGAUAAGGGAGCCCACCUCUAAAUGUGGCGUGUAUGCUUAUAUUUAUAUAAGAAACCCACAAGCAUUUAGGUAAGCACCCACCUGUGUGAGUACAGGUCCUAUAAAAUCUCUAGUAAUUACGGCUAAGGCGGGGCAU
rnacentral:other from 1 species